CGCCUCAGCCCCCUCCCCCUUCCGGGUACCUGGAAACUUCGGGCCCGGGAGCCAAUUCCUGCCGGGGACGCGGGCCCGGGCGGCCGCGGGAAGCCAAGGAUGCUACAUUUAGUGCUCAUGUCUCCCUAGGCUCCUUGUGGCUGUGACAAUUUUUCAUACUUUCCUUGUUUUUGCUGUCCUCCAUGGUUUUGAGGAAUACUGGUACCAUCAUCUCGGUGGAGCAUCUGUUCUCAAAAGUGCAGUCACAGAGGGAAUGACAUCCUGAUUUUUCUCUGCACGGGCAACAGAAGGACCUCGGCUUCACAUCCUGGCAAUUCUCAGCACUAUUCGAAGCCUCAGAGUCCUCUGCUUCCAUUGGCAGAAAAGGGAAGAACCAGUGGAGAAGCCAUAUCGGAUUCAUAAAACCCUGGCUCAGAGUGCUGUGUCUCCAGGACCUGGAACUGGGCUGCCAUGCGCUAGGCACUUGAGGACCAAAUACUGACCAGUAAAGUGGUUGAGCCAUAUCGGUCCACUGAGCCACAAGUAAUGCAUCGAAGAAAGAAUUUAAGAAGUUUCAUAGAAUAGGUCACCUCAUGGUAAACACUAUGGCAGCUGCUACCUACUGUUUUGUGUUAGAAGAAGCUUCCAUUUCUUCACCAUUUCAGAUCUGCUUUCCAUGCUGGACAUUCUUAAACUGUAAUGUAGAUGGAUUUUUCCUAACCCUCUGAUGGAAUGAUAACAUCAUGCACCAAGUCUCAUCCAGAAAUGUUGAAGCCACAUGAGGAGGACACCAAAGAACUCACUUCUCACAUUAUUGUUAGAAGAAACUCCAAGAGAGGUCUAAAGAGGAGAGAAAGAGAAGGAGGUGGAGAUGAGCAGCCUUACAGCAGCUGUGAAUCUGCCAACAGCCUGGAGGUGGGAGGACCUGUGUACAGAUCAACAGAGAAGAUCUCCUGGAGGAAGAGCAUUGACUUAAGUCAUGGAACCACCUACCUCUUUCUACUUAAAGGCAUAUUGCAUCUCUUACUUCCUUUUGGCCAAGGGACAAGAGGAAAUAAAAAGAAAAGGAAGGUGUAAGGACAAUCUGGCUGUGAUGUCUGUCACUCCAUCCGUCACCAGGGUUGAUUUGGCCCAUCCAGCUGGCUUGGCCUGCUUCAGUUCUACCUUUGCUACAAGCAAACCAUGGAGCCUUCCAGUGUUGGCUGUAUGGUCCUGUGCUAUUAGACUGCAAAGGCAAGAAAGAAG